rnacentral:rRNA from 1 species
CAGAUGCUAAUACCGGAUAACAACACUAGACGCAUGUCUAGAGUUUAAAAGAUGGUUCUGCUAUCACUCUUGGAUGGACCUGCGGUGCAUUAGCUAGUUGGUAAGGCAACGGCUUACCAAGGCAAUGAUGCAUAGCCGAGUUGAGAGACUGAUCGGCCACAUUGGGACUGAGACACGGCUCAAACUCCUACGGGAGGCAGCAGCU